rnacentral:rRNA from 1 species
UACGUAGGGUGCGAGCGUUUGUCCGGAAUUAUUGGGCGUAAAGGGCUCGUAGGCGGUUUGUCACGUCAGGAGUGAAAACUCGGGGCUCAACCCCGAGCCUGCUUCUGAUACGGGCAGACUGGAGGUAUGCAGGGGAGAACGAAUUCCUGGUGUAGCGGUGAAAUGCGCAGAUAUCAGGAGGAACACCGGUGGCGAAGGCGGUUCUCUGGGCAUUACCUGACGCUGAGGAGCGAAAGUGUGGGGAGCGAACAGG